rnacentral:rRNA from 1 species
UACGAAGGGGCUAGCGUUGCUCGGAAUCACUGGGCGUAAAGCGCACGUAGGCGGACUCUUAAGUCGGUGGUGAAAUCCUGGAGCUCAACUCCAGAACUGCCUCCGAUACUGGGAGCCUUCGAGUCCGGGAGAGGUGAGUGGAACUGCGAGUGUAGAGGUGAAAUUCGUAGAUAUUCGCAAGAACACCAGUGGCGAAGGCGGCUCACUGGACUGGUAUUGACGCUGAGGUGCGAAAGCGUGGGGAGCAAACAGG